CAGCACGGAGCUUGCUCUGGUGGCGAGUGGCGAACGGGUGAGUAAUAUAUCGGAACGUACCCUGGAGUGGGGGAUAACGUAGCGAAAGUUACGCUAAUACCGCAUACGAUCUACGGAUGAAAGUGGGGGAUCGCAAGACCUCAUGCUCGUGGAGNNGGCCGAUAUCUGAUUAGCUAGUUGGUAGGGUAAAAGCCUACCAAGGCAUCGAUCAGUAGCUGGUCUGAGAGGACGACCAGCCACACUGGAACUGAGACACGGUCCAGACUCCUACGGGAGGCAGCAGUGGGGAAUUUUGGACAAUGGGCGAAAGCCUGAUCCAGCAAUGCCGCGUGAGUGAAGAAGGCCUUCGGGUUGUAAAGCUCUUUUGUCAGGGAAGAAACGGUGAGGGCUAAUAUCCCUUGCUAAUGAC
rnacentral:rRNA from 1 species